AUUUCCAAAGUUUUUUUUCCCGGCUUAGUUUUAGAUCGAAAUCUACCUAUCGAAUCUUAGUAUUAGUAAUCAAUGACCGAAAUG
rnacentral:tRNA from 1 species